rnacentral:rRNA from 1 species
GAGGAAUAUUGGGCAAUGCCCGCAAGGGUGACCCAGCAACGCCGCGUGGAGGAUGAAUGUCGUAAGAUUGUAAACUCCUGUUAGAGGGGAAGAAUAGUACCGGUUGGACCGGUAUAUGACUGUACCCUCAGAGAAAGCCCCGGCUAACUACGUGCCAGCAGCCGCGGUAAUACGUAGGGGGCAAGCGUUGUCCGGAUUUACUGGGUGUAAAGGGCGCGCAGGCGGGAUAAAAAGUCAGUGGUGAAAUCCUACAGCUUAACUGUAGAACUGCCUUUGAUACUUUUAUUCUUGAGUUCGGGAGAGAGACGGAAUUCCAGGUGUAGUGGUGAAAUACGUAGAUAUCUGGAAGAACACCAGUUGCGAAGGCGGUCUCUUGGUCCGACACUGACGCUGAGGCGCGAAAGCGUGGGGAGCAAACA